GGGAAAGGUGAAAAGCACUUCGAACAGAAGAGUGAAAUAGUCCCUGAACCCAUACGCCUACAAGCAGUCGGAGCCGCUUCGUGCGGUGACGGCGUGCCUUUUGCAUAAUGAGCCUACGAGUUACUCAUCACCAGCGAGGUUAAGUACUUCAGGUACGUAAGCCGAAGCGAAAGCGAGUCUGAAUAGGGCGUCAAGUUGGUGGUGGUAGACGCGAAACCUUAGUGAUCUACCCAUGGGCAGGGUGAAGGUUUGGUAACACAAACUGGAGGCCCGAACCGGUAAACGUUGAAAAGUUUUCGGAUGACCUGUGGGUAGGGGUGAAAGGCCAAUCAAACUGGGAAAUAGCUCGUACUCUCCGAAAUGCAUUUAGGUGCAGCCUCUGUUGUUUUGUUCUAGAGGUAGAGCUACUGAUUGGAUGCGAGGGCUUCACCGCCUAUCAAAUCCGGCCAAACUCCGAAUGCUAGAACAUAAAGACAGGGAGUGAGCCAGCGGGUGCUAAGGUCCGUUGACGAAAGAGGGAGAACUCAGACCAUCAGCUAAGGUCCCCAAUUAUAUGCUAAGUUGGAAUAAAAACGGGGUGGGACUGCUUAGACAGCUAGGAUGUUGGCUUGGAAGCAGCCAUUCAUUUAAAGAGUGCGUAACAGCUCACUAGUCGAGCGGUCCUGCAUGGAUAAUACGCGGGCAUAAGCAUAUAACCGAAGCUAUGGGAUUGUAGAUGAUACAAUCGGUAGGAGAGCAUUCCAUUCAGCAUAGAAGCAGUAUCGUGAGGUAUUGUGGAGCGGAUGGAAAAGCAAAUGUAGGCAUAAGUAACGAUAAUGCGGGUGAGAACCCCGCACGCCGAAAGAUCAAGGAUUCCCCGGCAAUGUCAAUCAUCCGGGGGUAAGUCGGAUCCUAAGGGUAAGCCGAGUGGCGAUCCCGAUGGUAAACAGGUUAAUAUUCCUGUACUGAUCAUAACUGCGAUGCAGCGACGCAGAGGUGACACUGCUGCGUACUGACGGAAUAGUACGUUGAAACCCGUAUUCUUUGAUACCGGUAGUGAAGCACGCCGGUAGAGAUGAAAGGUGAUAGUACCGCAAUGCUUCGGUUGCGCGGAUAAUGCAGGUAAGCUGACUGCCAAGAAAACCUGCUAAGCUUCAGGUAAUGAUCAUCCGUACUGUAAACGGACACACGUGAUCAGGUAGAAAAUACUAAGGCGCUCGAGAGAUUCAUGGUUAAGGAACUAGGCAAAAUGGUCCUGUAACUUCGGGAUAAAGGACGCUCUUGUGAAAGAGCCGCAGAUAAUAGGCCCAGGCGACUGUUUACCAAAAACACAUGGCUAUGCUAAUUCGCAAGAAGAUGUAUAUGGCCUGACACCUGCCCGGUGCCGGAAGGUUAAGAGGAGAGCUCAGAGGUAACUCGAAGGUUUGAAUUGAAGCCCCGGUAAACGGCGGCCGUAACUAUAACGGUCCUAAGGUAGCGAAAUUCCUUGUCGGGUAAGUUCCGACCUGCACGAAUGGUGUAACGAUCUGGGUACUGUCUCAACCAUGAGCUCGGUGAAAUUGUAGUUCCGGUGAAGAUGCCGGAUACCCGCAACGGGACGGAAAGACCCCGUGAACCUUUACUGCAGCUUUGCAUUGAUUUUGGGUAACAGAUGUGUAGGAUAGGUCGGAGGCUUUGAUGCUGCGUCGUCAGGCGUAGAGUAGCCGUCGUUGAAAUACGACCCUUUUGUUAUCUGAGGUCUAAUCCCGUUAGGGAGACAUUGCAUGGUGGGUAGUUUGACUGGGGUGGUCGCCUCCAAAAGUGUAACGGAGGCUUCUCAAGGUACCCUCAAGGCGUUUGGUAAUCGUCUGCAGAGUGCAAUGGCAUAAGGGUGCUUGACUGUGAGACCGACACGUCGAUCAGGUUGGAAACA
rnacentral:rRNA from 1 species